rnacentral:misc_RNA from 1 species
GAUGUUGCGCACACGAAUUUUAUAUCGGCAAGACGUUGAGGUCUUGCGGAUGUUCUUUGACAAUUUGGGACGUAACAAGCGUCUGAACUCUCAAACCGAGUUUAGAUGUGUCGUUGAGGCAAUUAGGCGAGUCUUGGACCGUGUAAUUCCGAGGAGACUUGGAGUUAUAUGGUCAAGCGAAUAAGCGUCUACGGUGGAUGCCUUGGCGGUCAGAGGCGAAGAAGGACGUGGCAGCCUGCGAAAAGCGCGGGGGAGCCCGGCACACGCAUUGAUCCCGCGAUGUCCGAAUGGGGAAACCCGG